GAGGACCAGGGGAGCUCUAGCCAGCAGCUCUACUGGGUUCGUCUAGCGAGAUCUGAGCGUUGACGCAGGCUAGAAUUCACUCUCCACUGGACCACCAGGGAUGGCAUGUGGCAGCAAGGAUCCCCCUCUCCCUACAUAAGGUAAGAAGGGAGGGGGGAUAUUUACUAAUCUGCCCCCACAAUCCCACCAAACAUACAGCACACACACAUACAGUACCCUCAC